rnacentral:pre_miRNA from 1 species
AGUGUGAUUGCUGGAUCAUAUGGUAAGACUAUUUAAUUUGGUAAGAAAUUGUCAAACUGUUUCCCAAAGUGGCUAUACCAUUUUGCAUUCCUACGAGUAAU